GACGAACGCUGGCGGCGUGCUUAACACAUGCAAGUCGAACGGAAAGGCCCUGCUUUUGUGGGGUGCUCGAGUGGCGAACGGGUGAGUAACACGUGAGUAACCUGCCCUUGACUUUGGGAUAACUUCAGGAAACUGGGGCUAAUACCGGAUAGGAGCUCCUGCUGCAUGGUGGGGGUUGGAAAGUUUCGGCGGUUGGGGAUGGACUCGCGGCUUAUCAGCUUGUUGGUGGGGUAGUGGCUUACCAAGGCUUUGACGGGUAGCCGGCCUGAGAGGGUGACCGGCCAAAUGGGGACUGGGGAACGGCCCGGACUCCUACGGGGGGAAGCGGGGGGGAAUAUUGCACAAUGGGGGGAAGCCGGAUGCAGCAACGCCGGGUGGGGGAUGACGGCCUUCGGGUUGUAAACCGCUUUCGCCUGGGACGAAGGGUGAGUGACGGUAAUGGGUAAAAAAGCACCGGCUAACUACGU
rnacentral:rRNA from 1 species